AGCGCGUUGGUUUAAUUCGACGGCAAUCGAAGAACCUUUACCAGGGUUUGAAAUGUAUCUGCAUGCCCUAUGAAAAUGGGAGGCCUUCGAGGGGUGAUACACAGGUGCUGCAUGGCCGCCGUCAGCUCGUGUCGUGAGAUGUAGGGUUAAGUCCCGAAACGAGCGCAACCCCUAUUCUAUGUUACAAGUGUCUUAGAAAACCGCCUCGGUAAAACGAGGAGGAAGUGGGGAUGACGUCUGGUCCGCAUAGCCCUUAUGUCCUGGGCUACACACGCGCUACAAUGGCCGAUACAGUAGGAAGCCAAAUCGUAAGAUGGAGCCAAUCCCUUAAAGCCGAUCGUAGUCCGGAUCGUAGUCUGCAACUCGACUACGUGAAGUCGGAAUCGCUAGUAAUCGCAGAUCAGCAUGCUGCGGUGAAUACGUUCCCGGGUCUU
rnacentral:rRNA from 1 species